AGCGAACGCUGGCGGCAGGCCUAACACAUGCAAGUCGAACGAACCUUUCGGGGUUAGUGGCGGACGGGUGAGUAACACGUGGGAACGUGCCCUUAGGUUCGGAAUAACUCAGGGAAACUUGUGCCAAUACCGAAUGUGCCCUUCGGGGGAAAGAUUUAUCGCCUUUAGAGCGGCCCGCGUCUGAUUAGCUAGUUGGUUGAGGUAAUGGCUCACCAAGGCGACGAUCAGUAGCUGGUCUGAGAGGAUGAUCAGCCACAUUGGGACUGAGACACGGCCCAAACUCCUACGGGAGGCAGCAGUGGGGAAUCUUGCGCAAUGGGCGAAAGCCUGACGCAGCCAUGCCGCGUGAAUGAUGAAGGUCUUAGGAUUGUAAAAUUCUUUCACCGGGGACGAUAAUGACGGUACCCGGAGAAGAAGCCCCGGCUAACUUCGUG
rnacentral:rRNA from 1 species